GUAAACAGGAUGGCCUUGUAAACAGGUGUGACUGUUCGACAGUCAUUCCAUGCACAGCAAUGACAGGAAAAUAUGUGAUCGUAUCAAUAAACGCUUAAAGCAGAAAAAUAUAAAUACCAAUCAUCAGGCAGUAAAGCUGUCAAGCUAACAUGAUAACUCUUCUGGCACCAUGUAGCCUUAAAUCUCCGGGGGAGAGCUGGCUGGGACGGCAGCGCUCAAGGAACAAGCUGCCGACAACCUGGCCGGGCGCGAGGCAGCAGAGGCGAUGCUCCCUGGGGAGCUGGCACCGCCGACCUGCUGCUAUCAGGGAAUGCUGAACAGCAUAAAGCUGAUGGCCUGGAAGGAGACGAAGCGAUGACAGAUCAGAGCUGCUCUGUAGCCUCACCCAAAGGGAAAUGAGACUACUUGCGACCCAAGAGAUGGACGCCAAUGUCUCACAGUGUGCAGAACAAGGUAUUUAUUCAACGACACGGAGUACAGUUAGGAACAUCUCGAAUCAACAGACAGAAACAAGAAGCAGAAUGAUCCAUGCAGCUCUUCACAUUCUGUAUCAAGAAAGGGUAGGUGCAUUUCAGGCCAGACCUGAAGAAAAUGAGAUUAUUACUACAAAAAAAGCUGCUCUGGCUGAACAGAGUACUUGUCUCCAGGAGACAUGGCUCCUAGCAGCUCCACACAAGCCACCCAGCACUAAAUAAAAC